rnacentral:misc_RNA from 1 species
AAUAACUCAUUCCAGGUGAGAUUAUUGUGUAAUUUGUAAAAUCUCUGGCUACCUGUCAAAUCUUCUCUGAAACACAUUGCCCAAUUUUGCAUGAGUUAUUACUUUCUUACUAAUUUUCUUGAACAAUUUUCUAUGAUCUGUUUUUGCAUGAUUUUCUCCCCUUCAAUAUAUCUGCCAAAACUUUGUCAUGUUUGCUUGUGAAUUAUUCUGAAUUCCUUCCUGCAUAUGCUACAGGUUGAUACUGUUGCCUACCAU